rnacentral:rRNA from 1 species
CCCUUAGAUGUUCUGGGCCGCACGCGCGCUACACUGACGAUGGCAACGAGUUUUUCCUUCGCCGAAAGGUGUGGGUAAUCUUUUGAAACAUCGUCGUGCUGGGGAUAGAUCAUUGCAAUUGUUGAUCUUGAACGAGGAAUUCCUAGUAAGCGCGAGUCAUCAGCUCGCGUUGAUUACGUCCCUGCCCUUUGUACACACCGCCCGUCGCUACUACCGAUUGAAUGGUUUAGUGAGGACUCCUGAUUGGCGCCGCCGCCCCGGCAACGGAGCAGCGGACUGCCGAAAAGUUGUUCAAACUUGAUCAUUUAGAGGAAGUAAAAGUCGUAACA